AUUGAACGCUGGCGGCAGGCCUAACACAUGCAAGUCGAGCGGAUGAAGGGAGCUUGCUCCUGGAUUCAGCGGCGGACGGGUGAGUAAUGCCUAGGAAUCUGCCUGGUAGUGGGGGAUAACGUCCGGAAACGGGGGCUAAUACGGCAUACGUCCUGAGGGAGAAAGGGGGGGAUCUUCGGACCUCACGCUAUCAGAUGAGCCUAGGUCGGAUUAGCUAGUUGGUGGGGUAAAGGCCUACCAAGGCGACGAUCCGUAACUGGUCUGAGAGGAUGAUCAGUCACACUGGAACUGAGACACGGUCCAGACUCCUACGGGAGGCAGCAGUGGGGAAUAUUGGACAAUGGGCGAAAGCCUGAUCCAGCCAUGCCGCGUGUGUGAAGAAGGUCUUCGGAUUGUAAAGCACUUUAAGUUGGGAGGAAGGGCAGUAAGUUAAUACCUUGCUGUUUUGACGUUACCAACAGAAUAAGCACCGGCUAACUUCGUG
rnacentral:rRNA from 1 species